GUGUCCAAGGUGCUCUGGGGCUCUAUAGGGCAAGAAUGGAUAUGCUGGGUCUUUAAGGGUAGGUGGGAGUUUGUUGGGCAGAGAAAGGGAUAUUGCCGCAAGAGCAAUGGCUGAUGUGUAUGGAGAUGGGGGCUGGGUGGGUAGGAGGAGAGCCCGGAGAUGAAGCUGGCUGGGUGCCAUGCUUGGGAGGAGGUUUCAUCCUAGAGGCUAUGGCUUUUGAAGGCACUUCUGGGAUUUGAAGCAACAUGGUCUUCCAGCUCAGUAGUAGCUUCCCCUCCUACUUAGACUGAGAUCCCACGUCUCCACCGUGGCUAGAAAGCUGGACAUGACGUGGCCUCCCAGCCCAGGCUCCUGACUUCUAGCCUCAUCCCCCAUCCUUCUCUCCCUCCCUGUCUGCAUCCAGCUCUUCCUGCCUUCCUGCUUGGCCCCAAACAGGCCAAGCUAAUGACCUAGACAUUGGACUUGCCACUCCCUCCACCUGGAACUCUCUUCCCCUUCAGCGUAGCUCUGCUUAAUAGGCUAAUUACAUUCAGAAGAGCUCUAGUAUGGCUCUUAAUAAACACUUGUUAAGUGAAUGAAUGAGCUCUACUUCAUUAUAUUCCAAUUCACUGAAAGGAAGUAUACAGACAGCUCUCAGCCAUCCAAUUGUGCUGAAUAAUUAACCAGGACACGCUGUCCCCCUCUGGGCUGCCCUGAUCACCCAGUUAACUCUGGGCUUUUCCCGGCUUGCCAGCACAGCCUCCAGAGUGGGUCUGGGCUGCAGUCGAAACGCAGCUGCUUAGCAAUUGAGCUAAUAACCCCGCUGCUGCAGACAUAGCUCAGUGGCAGAAGAGAAGCCGUGAAAUUGCCUGAAUUGAGAAGCUGCCGGGAAAGUAAAAGCGGUCUGUCAAAACCCAACCUAAAUUGGAAGACAAAAGGCAAUUCCUUCUAGCACCUUCAGCAUGUUUCUGAUGCUGGAUCAAGCCGGAUUGCAGUGUGUCUUCACUAACAGAGGGUGGAACAGUUAAGCCAUUUACGCCCAGAAUCCUGCUACUGGAGAUCUUCCCUAAAGAUGUUACUCUUCUGUUGUGGCAGAAGCUGCUUGCUGUCCCCAAAUAGUCGUUUUCUCCUUCUUCU
rnacentral:lncRNA from 1 species